CCCUUAACGGCCAGGCGUACACACGUGCUACAAUGGCGUAUACAGAGGGAAGCGACCUCGCGAGAGCAAGCGGAACCCAAAAAGUACGUCGUAGUCCGGAUCGGAGUCUGCAACUCGACUCCGUGAAGUCGGAAUCGCUAGUAAUCGCAAAUCAGAAUGUUGCGGUGAAUACGUUCCCGGGCCUUGUACACACCGCCCGUCACACCAUGGGAGUGGGUUGCACCAGAAGUAGUUAGUCUAACCUUCGGGGGGACGAUUACCACGGUGUGAUUCAUGA
rnacentral:rRNA from 1 species